UACUAAAGCCAUAUCUUCCUGCAGUGCUUGGUUUCCCACUGAUGCUAAGCAGGGAUGAGUCUGGUCAAUAGCUGGAUGGGAGACCUCCUGGGGAAACUAAGGUUGCUGCUGGAA
rnacentral:rRNA from 1 species